rnacentral:rRNA from 1 species
UACGAAGGGGGGCGAGCGUUGUUCGGAUUUACUGGGCGUAAAGGGCGCGCAGGCGGCAGACCAAGUCAGGCGUGAAAGCCCUGGGCUUAACCCAGGAAGUGCAUUCGAAACUUCCAAGCUCGAGUCCUGGAGAGGGUGGCGGAAUUCUCGGUGUAGAGGUGAAAUUCGUAGAUAUCGAGAGGAACACCGGUGGCGAAGGCGGCUACCUGGACAGUCGACGUGACGCUGAGACGGCGAAAGCGUGGGGAAGCAAACAGGG